rnacentral:sRNA from 1 species
GCUGGGCGCAGUGGUGCAUGCCUGUAAUCCAGCUGCUAAGGAGGCUGAGGCAGGAGGAUCUCAAAUUCAAACCCAACCUCUGCAAAAGCAAGGUGCUAAGCAACUCAAUGAGACCUUGUCUCUA